AUCGGAACGAUGGAGCAAUAUGGCCGACACUGUGGACACGUGAGGUGUCGGGACAUAAACCUGAAGCUCUCAUUGAAAGGUGCUGUUGUCAGGAUAAUGUAUGCUGCAGCCUCUCAUGUUGACCACAAGAGGCCCAACCUGCAGGUGGCAGAGCAGCUGGCCUACUACGUCCAUGUGAAGGGGACAGUAAUCACAGAGGAGACGUUUGAUGUGGCCGAGCAGUUUGGCACGGCGCGGGCCGACCUCACCCAGAGCCGUGCGAGGUGACCUGUUUGCUUGCCCCCUUUGGUCGCCCUCAGCACCUACUGGGAAAAGAGCAUCAAGGAAUCAAGGACAACUACGGCGCCAACAUGUGCUCAGACCUCACCAGCUUCACAGAUAAUGUUUGCAUGAAGGUGGCCAACAUGGUGCUGUACAUCCCAAAUGAAAGGCCUGCAGCGCAGCCCUGAGGAGGCCAGCAAGGACAAGACGGCAGUACAGAGGACUGAGAACCAAAGAGCUACUGAAUGCACACGGUGGGAUUGAAGGAUUCAGCCUGCAGGCUACCUGUAAGAGAUGGGCUUCUGGAGAAGCUGCUGUGCCAAUGUGUUGGGCACAUCAGCCAGCAGAUGGAGAAGCCAGAGGUGAAGCAGAUGGAGAGAACACAUACAGAUCUAUUUUCUGGAGGUACAGAACCACUGUCUGGAAGCACGGACACAUCCUACCCAUCUAUAUUGAAGAGGCCAUGUGACAAUGCUCCUCAGCUGUGACACGCUGCUGCAUCAACUGAAUCAACUCCCACCACGUAUCAUCGAUCGCUUCUACGAGAUGAGUAAUGAGAUCAUUCGCCUGUACUCCCAAAGCAUCUCGGUGGACAAGAUCUUUAAGGGCUACGUGAUCUCCAGCAGGCAAAAAAACUCAGCGACUGACUCUGUGCCGUAAAAAUGUACCUGCAUAUGCACCAAGCAGAUUUACUACAAGACCAUCGAGGGACAAUCAGGAGCCGCACUGAUGAUCCUUCUCCAGCCAGGUUCCUGAUGUGCAGGCUGUCGAACAAAAGCUUUCAGCCUCAUCUCACAACACCUUGACUUCACAAGGGUUAAGGGUCAGCCAGCUGCUCUGAUGCCUGUGGAGUCGGUCAAGAAGCCCUUGAAAAAUCCCUCAGUGCAGCUUUAAUCCCGCAGCUCUGACUUGCUCAAAGCUUUGUCAUGCGGGAUACCGUUUUCUCUCUUGACCGUGUGACUGCCAGAAGCAGCUUGCCUGUUGGGAGGAGGGUCGGCAGCGGGUCUUGCCAGGCUUUGGUGGGCGCCAUGAGCCAGAGGUCAUCCACUGCCUGCUGGAAAUACAGUCGCUGCCUACAGAUUGUGCACAUUGUUGGCACAGGCAUCCUGGACGUCAAAACACCACCUGGCUCAAUGAUUACAACAGGUGAUUCCGAAGGCACACAUCGUUCCUUAGACACACAGCCCUGGGCGGGCAGAUGGUGUUGGCCUCUGGCCAGAUGUUCCAGGUUUUGGAUGAGGUGCUGAGGAGGCCUGGACUGGCAGAGACUUAAAACAACACAGCCA